rnacentral:rRNA from 1 species
CCUACGGGGGGCAGCAGUGGGGAAUAUUGCACAAUGGGGGAAACCCUGAUGCAGCGACGCCGCGUGAGUGAAGAAGUAAUUCGUUAUGUAAAGCUCUAUCAGCAGGGAAGAAAAUGACGGUACCUGAGUAAGAAGCCCCGGCUAACUACGUGCCAGCAGCCGCGGUAAGACGUAGGGGGCAAGCGUUAUCCGGAUUUACUGGGUGUAAAGGGAGCGUAGACGGCAGUGCAAGUCUGGAGUGAAAGGCGGGGGCUCAACCCCCGGACUGCUCUGGAAACUGUACGGCUGGAGUGCAGGAGAGGUAAGUGGAAUUCCUAGUGUAGCGGUGAAAUGCGUAGAUAUUAGGAGGAACACCAGUGGCGAAGGCGGCUUACUGGACUGUAACUGACGUUGAGGCUCGAAAGCGUGGGGAGCAAACAGGAUUAGAUACCCCAGUAGUC